rnacentral:rRNA from 1 species
GACAGAGGAUGCAAGCGUUAUCCGGAAUGAUUGGGCGUAAAGCGUCCGCAGGUGGCAGUUCAAGUCUGCUGUCAAAGACCGGGGCUUAACUUCGGAAAGGCAGUGGAAACUGAACAGCUAGAGUAUGGUAGGGGCAGAGGGAAUUCCUGGUGUAGCGGUGAAAUGCGUAGAGAUCAGGAAGAACAUCGGUGGCGAAGGCGCUCUGCUGGACCAUAACUGACACUCAGGGACGAAAGCUAGGGGAGCGAAUGGG